rnacentral:rRNA from 1 species
GGACGACGCUGGCGGCGUGCUUAACACAUGCAAGUCGAGCGAUGAAGCUUCUUCGGAAGUGGAUUAGCGGCGGACGGGUGAGUAACACGUGGGUAACCUGCCUCAUAGAGGGGAAUAGCCUUCCGAAAGGAAGAUUAAUACCGCAUAAGAUUGUAAUGCCGCAUGGCAUAGCAAUUAAAGGAGCAAUCCGCUAUGAGAUGGACCCGCGUCGCAUUAGCUAGUUGGUGAGGUAACGGCUCACCAAGUCGACGAUCAGUAGCCGGACUGAGAGGUUGAACGGCCACAUUGGGACUGAGAUACGGCCCAGACUCCUACGGGAGGCAGCAGUGGGGAAUAUUGGGCAAUGGGGGAAACCCUGACCCAGCAACGCCGCGUGAAGGAAGAAGGCUUUCGGGUUGUAAACUUCUUUUACCAGGGACGAAGGACGUGACGGUACCUGGAGAAAAAGCCACGGCUAACUACGUG